UACGGAGGGUGCAAGCGUUGUCCGGAUUUAUUGGGUUUAAAGGGUGCGUAGGUGGCUUUUUAAGUCAGUGGUGAAAGCCUGCAGCUUAACUGUAGGACUGCCAUCGAUACUGAGGAGCUUGAGUACUGAUGAGGUAGGCGGAAUUGAUAGUGUAGCGGUGAAAUGCAUAGAUAUUAUCAAGAACACCGAUUGCGAAGGCAGCUUACUAAGGAGUUACUGACACUGAGGCACGAAAGCGUGGGGAUCAAACAGG
rnacentral:rRNA from 1 species